rnacentral:lncRNA from 1 species
UGGUAAACUCUCAGCACCAGUAAGGAAUUAGAGAGGUGGAGUUUAAAGGAAAGGAAGACAUUUACUUGGAAAAGGAUGGGAAAAGAGAAGACAGACAGCUACUCUGGAAGAUCAAGGGGCAUCGGAAAGGCAAGAAAACUGAAGCACAGAUAGUAAUCAGUAUUUGUUCAGUGGCCAAGCUGGUGCUCAAAUAAGAAGCUAAUUCCAGAACCCUGGCUCCUUACAUCAUAAUCCAGUAUCUUCUAUAUAUAAGGAAAUCAUGUGAAGAAAAGAAAAGGUGCUUUGCACAAGGACCUGGUUUAGCUAAAUUCUACUGUAGUAACAUUAUUCAUCAUUUAAAAUUCAGAAUGCUCUAACUGCAGAACUAAUCAAGAUAAACUGAAAAGCACUGGUAUUGUUCACAAUUGCUGAAAGUCUUGGCUCAAAUAAGAGUACCAGGGAUCGAACUCAGGACCUUGUGCUUGCCAGGCAGGUGUGGUGCCACUGAACUAAAUCCCUGGCCCAGGAAUGCUAUGAUUUUAUUGCCAGCCUUGGUAACACAGUGAACUCAAGGCCAGUCUGAACUGUACAGUGAGGCCGUCUCUGAGAGAAAGGCAGACAGACAGACAGACACAGAGAGAGAAAGACACAGAGACAUAGAAAGAAACAAAAACCGGCAAUGAACUUCAUGAGUUCUUCACUCUAACAAGAGCUUUAGUAUUCUUCAUACCUCAGGUGUUCUAAUUAGCUUUUGUGUUAUGGUUCUAAUUAUCUUAAUAUGCAUCCUUUCAUCAUAAAAUACUUUAAGUUUGGAUCUUACUAAUUCAGAACUCAUUAUAAUUCAUACACUGAACCCAAAUUACCUUGGCUCAAGUACACAGAGAGGGAAAGGCUUUAGCUAAAUAAUGUGACUCACACCCAACACGCUGCAGAGUUUUGAUUAUUUACUUUGCAAAACCAUAAGCUUAUUCCAUUUACAAAGCUAUAGCAUAGCAGAAAGCCUUUUCCACUUUCCAGCAUGCACUGUACAGCCAACAGCAUGUUUAUGAAAGAAAGCAGGUUGGUGCCCAGUGAAUCAGAAUUCUCCAGCUUCCCAUUGUCAAGCAUCUAUGGACCUGAGGACUUGCCUGGAUGUCCUUGCCCAAGUCAGUCAGGAGCUACAAGUUCAUAUGUUUUUUCAAAUAAUAAAACUGAGUAUUGCAC